CCUACGGGUGGCUGCAGUAGGGAAUAUUGGACAAUGGGCGAAAGCCUGAUCCAGCCAUGCCGCGUGAUAGAUGAAGGCCCUCUGGGUUGUAACUAUCUUUUAUCUGGGAAGAAACAAUCUUAUUCUUAAGAUCUUGACGGUACCAGAGGAAUAAGCACCGGCUAACUCCGUGCCAGCAGCCGCGGUAAUACGGAGGGUGCAAGCGUUAUCCGGAUUCACUGGGUUUAAGGGGGGCGUAGGAGUCCUGAUAGAAAGCUCCGAGCUUAACUUGGAAACUGCCAUUGAUACGGCCAGUCUUGAAUGGCGUAGAGGUAAGCGGAAUGUUGCAUGUAGCGGUGAAAUGCUUAGAUAGGGUACAGAACACCAAUUGCGAAGGCAGCUUACUAUGCGAUGAUUGACGCUGAGGCACGAAAGCGUGGGGAGCAAACAGGAUUAGAUACCCUAGUAGUC
rnacentral:rRNA from 1 species